UCCUACGGGGGGCAGCAGUGGGGGAUAUUGCACAAUGGGGGAAACCCUGAUGCAGCGACGCCGCGUGGGCGAAGAAGUAUUUCGGUAUGUAAAGCCCUAUCAGCAGGGAAGAAGAAAUGACGGUACCUGAGUAAGAAGCACCGGCUAAAUACGUGCCAGCAGCCGCGGUAAUACGUAUGGUGCAAGCGUUAUCCGGAUUUACUGGGUGUAAAGGGAGCGUAGACGGCGAGGUAAGCCUGAAGUGGAAGCCCGCGGCCCAACCGCGGAACUGCUUUGGGAACUGUUUUGCUGGAGU
rnacentral:rRNA from 1 species